UACGUAGGGUGCGAGCGUUAAUCGGAAUACUGGGCGUAAAGCGUGCGCAGGCGGUUUUGUAAGCCAGAUGUGAAAUCCCCGGGCUUAACCUGGGAAUGGCAUUUGGGACUGCAAGGCUUGAGUGCGGCAGAGGAGACUGGAAUUCCUGGUGUAGCAGUGAAAUGCGUAGAUAUCAGGAGGAAUACCGAUGGCGAAGGCAGGUCUCUGGGCUGACACUGACGCUCAUGCACGAAAGCGUGGGGAGCAAACAGG
rnacentral:rRNA from 1 species